AGAGUUUGAUCCUGGCUCAGGAUGAACGCUGGCGGCGUGCCUAAUACAUGCAAGUCGAGCGAACGGACGAGAAGCUUGCUUCUCUGAUGUUAGCGGCGGACGGGUGAGUAACACGUGGAUAACCUACCUAUAAGACUGGGAUAACUUCGGGAAACCGGAGCUAAUACCGGAUAAUAUUUUGAACCGCAUGGUUCAAAAGUGAAAGACGGUCUUGCUGUCACUUAUAGAUGGAUCCGCGCUGCAUUAGCUAGUUGGUAAGGUAACGGCUUACCAAGGCAACGAUGCAUAGCCGACCUGAGAGGGUGAUCGGCCACACUGGAACUGAGACACGGUCCAGACUCCUACGGGAGGCAGCAGUAGGGAAUCUUCCGCAAUGGGCGAAAGCCUGACGGAGCAACGCCGCGUGAGUGAUGAAGGUCUUCGGAUCGUAAAACUCUGUUAUUAGGGAAGAACAUAUGUGUAAGUAACUGUGCACAUCUUGACGGUACCUAAUCAGAAAGCCACGGCUAACUACGUGCCAGCAGCCGCGGUAAUACGUAGGUGGCAAGCGUUAUCCGGAAUUAUUGGGCGUAAAGCGCGCGUAGGCGGUUUUUUAAGUCUGAUGUGAAAGCCCACGGCUCAACCGUGGAGGGUCAUUGGAAACUGGAAAACUUGAGUGCAGAAGAGGAAAGUGGAAUUCCAUGUGUAGCGGUGAAAUGCGCAGAGAUAUGGAGGAACACCAGUGGCGAAGGCGACUUUCUGGUCUGUAACUGACGCUGAUGUGCGAAAGCGUGGGGAUCAAACAGGAUUAGAUACCCUGGUAGUCCACGCCGUAAACGAUGAGUGCUAAGUGUUAGGGGGUUUCCGCCCUUAGUGCUGCAGCUAACGCAUUAAGCACUCCGCCUGGGGAGUACGACCGCAAGGUUGAAACUCAAAGGAAUUGACGGGGACCCGCACAAGCGGUGGAGCAUGUGGUUUAAUUCGAAGCAACGCGAAGAACCUUACCAAAUCUUGACAUCCUUUGACAACUCUAGAGAUAGAGCCUUCCCUUCGGGGGACAAAGUGACAGGUGGUGCAUGGUUGUCGUCAGCUCGUGUCGUGAGAUGUUGGGUUAAGUCCCGCAACGAGCGCAACCCUUAAGCUUAGUUGCCAUCAUUAAGUUGGGCACUCUAAGUUGACUGCCGGUGACAAACCGGAGGAAGGUGGGGAUGACGUCAAAUCAUCAUGCCCUUAUGAUUUGGGCUACACACGUGCUACAAUGGACAAUACAAAGGGCAGCGAAACCGCGAGGUCAAGCAAAUCCCAUAAAGUUGUUCUCAGUUCGGAUUGUAGUCUGCAACUCGACUACAUGAAGCUGGAAUCGCUAGUAAUCGUAGAUCAGCAUGCUACGGUGAAUACGUUCCCGGGUCUUGUACACACCGCCCGUCACACCACGAGAGUUUGUAACACCCGAAGCCGGUGGAGUAACCUUUUAGGAGCUAGCCGUCGAAGGUGGGACAAAUGAUUGGGGUGAAGUCGUAACAAGGUAGCCGUAUCGGAAGGUGCGGCUG
rnacentral:rRNA from 1 species